rnacentral:rRNA from 1 species
CCUACGGGAGGCAGCAGUGGGGAAUAUUGCACAAUGGGGGAAACCCUGAUGCAGCAACGCCGCGUGAAGGAAGACGGUUCUCGGAUUGUAAACUUUCGUUCUUCGUGGAGAAUAAUGACGGUCGCUAAGGCGCAUGCCACGGCUAACUAAGUUCCAGCCGCCGAGGUCAUACGCAGGUGGCAAGGGUUGUCCGGAAUUACUGGGGGUAACGGGAGUGUAGGCGGGAAGCCAAGUCAGCUGUGAAAACUUUGGGCUUAACUUGUAGACUGCAGUUGAUACUGGUUGUCUUGAGUGAAGUAGAGGUAGGCGGAAUGCGGGGUGUAGCGGUGAAAUGCGUAGAUAUUUGGAAGAACUCCGAUUGCGAAGGCAGCCAACUGGGCUGUAACUGACGCUGAUGCUCGAAAGUGUGGGGAGCAAACAGGAUUAGAUACCCGAGUAGUC